rnacentral:rRNA from 1 species
AACGAACGCUGGCGGCAUGCCUAACACAUGCAAGUCGAACGAGACCUUCGGGUCUAGUGGCGCACGGGUGCGUAACGCGUGGGAACCUGCCCUUAGGUUCGGAAUAACUCCCCGACAGGGGUGCUAAUACCGGAUCAUGUCUUCGGACCAAAGAUUUAUCGCCUUUGGAUGGGCCCGCGUUGGAUUAGCUAGUUGGUAGGGUAAAAGCCUACCAAGGCGACGAUCCAUAGCUGGUCUGAGAGGAUGAUCAGCCACACUGGGACUGAGACACGGCCCAGACUCCUACGGGAGGCAGCAGUGGGGAAUAUUGGACAAUGGGCGAAAGCCUGAUCCAGCAAUGCCGCGUGAGUGAUGAAGGCCUUAGGGUUGUAAAGCUCUUUUACCCGGGAUGAUAAUGACAGUACCGGGAGAAUAAGCUCCGGCUAACUCCGUG